UGGGGAAUUUUGGACAAUGGGCGCAAGCCUGAUCCAGCCAUGCCGCGUGAGUGAAGAAGGCCUCCGGGUUGUAAAGCUCUUUCGGACGGGAAGAAAUGGCGGGCUCUAGCAUAGCCUGUCGAUGACGGUACCGUAAGAAGAAGCACCGGCUAACUACGUGCCAGCAGCCGCGGUAAUACGUAGGGUGCGAGCGGUAAUCGGAAUUACUGGGCGUAAAGCGUGCGCAGGCGGUUUUGUAAGACAGAUGUGAAAUCCCCGGGCUUAACCUGGGAACUGCGUUUGUGACUGCAAGGCUGGAGUACGGCAGAGGGGGGUGGAAUUCCACGUGUAGCAGUGAAAUGCGUAGAGAUGUGGAGGAACACCGAUGGCGAAGGCAGCCCCCUGGGCCUGUACUGACGCUCAUGCACGAAAGCGUGGGGAGCAAACA
rnacentral:rRNA from 1 species